CGGAGGGUGCAAGCGUUAUCCGGAUUUACUGGGUUUAAAGGGUGCGUAGGCGGGCUUUUAAGUCAGUGGUGAAAACUCCGAGCUCAACUCGGAAACUGCCAUUGAUACUAUUAGUCUUGAAUUUAGUUGAGGUUGGCGGAAUGUGUCGUGUAGCGGUGAAAUGCUUAGAUAUGACACAGAACACCGAUUGCGAAGGCAGCUGGCUAAACUAAAAUUGACGCUGAGGCACGAAAGUGUGGGGAUCAAACAGGAUUAGAAACCCUGGUAGUCCACACCCUAAACGAUGAUUACUCGAUGUUGGCGAUACACUGCCAGCGUCUAAGCAAAAGCAUUAAGUAAUCCACCUGGGGAAUACGAUCGCAAGAUUG
rnacentral:rRNA from 1 species